GCUUCGGAHUUAAAAAAUCCGUCGACUUUAGAAAUCAUGAGGGUUCAAGUCCCUCUAUCCCCA
rnacentral:tRNA from 1 species